CAGCCGCCGCGGUAAGACGUAGGGCGCGAGCGUUGUCCGGAUUUAUUGGGCGUAAAGAGCUCGUAGGCGGCCUGUUGCGUCAUCCGUGAAAUCCUGCGGCUUAACUGUGGGUUUGCGGUUGAUACGGGCAGGCUGGAGUUCGGUAGGGGAGACUGGAAUUCCUGGUGUAGCGGUGAAAUGCGCAGAUAUCAGGAGGAACACCGGUGGCGAAGGCGGGUCUCUGGGCCGAUACUGACGCUGAGGAGCGAAAGCGUGGGGAGCGAACAGGAUUAGAUACCCUGGUAGUCCAUGCUGUAAACGUUGGGCGCUAGGUGUGGGGGCCCUUCCCGGGUUUCUGUGCCGUAGCUAACGCAUUAAGCGCCCCGCCUGGGGAGUACGGCCGCAAGGCUAAAACUCAAAGGAAUUGACGGGGGCCCGCACAAGCGGCGGAGCAUGCGGAUUAAUUCGAUGCAACGCGAAGAACCUUACCUGGGUUUGACAUCGCCGGUAAUCCUCCAGAGAUGGGGGGUCCCUUCGGGGGCCGGUGACAGGAGGUGCAUGGCC
rnacentral:rRNA from 1 species